rnacentral:misc_RNA from 1 species
GAUGAAGAACGCAGCGAAAUGCGAUAAGUAGUGUGAAUUGCAGAAUCCCGUGAACCAUCGAGUCUUUGAACGCAAGUUGCGCCCGAAGCCAUUAGGCCGAGGGCACGCCUGCCUGGGCGUCACACGUCGUUGCCCCCCCCAUCUACUCCUUCGGGAUUGCGGGGGGCGGAUGAUGGCCUCCCGUGCGCCUCGCCGCGCGGUUGGCAUAAAUGCCAAGUCCUCGGCGAUGCACGCCACGACAAUCGGUGGUUGCGAAACCUCGGUUGCCCGUCGUGUGCGGUCGUCGCGCAUCGAGGGCUCGAAAAAAUUGCCGGGUUCCGGCUCGGCUUUCAACGCGACCCCAGGUCAGGCGGGGUUACCCGCUGAAUUUAAGCAUAUCAAUAAGCGGAGGA